rnacentral:rRNA from 1 species
AUUGAACGCUAGCGGGAUGCUUUACACAUGCAAGUCGAACGGCAGCGCGGACUUCGGUCUGGCGGCGAGUGGCGAACGGGUGAGUAAUGUAUCGGAACGUGCCCAGUAGCGGGGGAUAACUACGCGAAAGCGUAGCUAAUACCGCAUACGCCCUACGGGGGAAAGCAGGGGAUCGUAAGACCUUGCACUAUUGGAGCGGCCGAUAUCGGAUUAGCUAGUUGGUGAGGUAACGGCUCACCAAGGCGACGAUCCGUAGCUGGUUUGAGAGGACGACCAGCCACACUGGGACUGAGACACGGCCCAGACUCCUACGGGAGGCAGCAGUGGGGAAUUUUGGACAAUGGGGGCAACCCUGAUCCAGCCAUCCCGCGUGUGCGAUGAAGGCCUUCGGGUUGCAAAGCACUUUUGGCAGGAAAGAAACGUCGCGGGCUAAUACCCCGUGGAACUGACGGUACCUGCAGAAUAAGCACCGGCUAACUACGUG